rnacentral:rRNA from 1 species
CCUACGGGUGGCUGCAGUGGGGAAUAUUGGACAAUGGGCGAAAGCCUGAUCCAGCCAUGCCGCGUGUGUGAAGAAGGCCUUCGGGUUGUAAAGCACUUUCAGUGGGGAAGAAAGCCUUGGGGCUAAUACCCUCGAGGAAGGACAUCACCCACAGAAGAAGCACCGGCUAACUCCGUGCCAGCAGCCGCGGUAAUACGGAGGGUGCGAGCGUUAAUCGGAAUUACUGGGCGUAAAGCGCGCGUAGGCGGUCUGAUAAGCCGGUUGUGAAAGCCCCGGGCUCAACCUGGGAACGGCAUCCGGAACUGUCAGGCUAGAGUGCAGGAGAGGAUGGUAGAAUUCCCGGUGUAGCGGUGAAAUGCGUAGAGAUCGGGAGGAAUACCAGUGGCGAAGGCGGCCUUCUGGACUGACACUGACGCUGAGGUGCGAAAGCGUGGGUAGCAAACAGGAUUAGAUACCCGAGUAGUC